rnacentral:lncRNA from 1 species
AUCUCAUAAAAUAUAUUGUUGGAAAUAAAUUUUGAAAAAGGGGAACAAACAAGGCCUUAGUAACCUUUUCCCUUAGUUUGUUUUUCGUCAUUUAUUUACCAUGAAUUUUGCACCAAAAUUACAGCUGUUGGAUGACAUUGUAUGUGAUCACAAAGAAAACUAUUCCCCCCCAUUGGGUACAGCAUGCGUGCUUCCAUCUUAUUUGACCACCCUCCUGGAGCCCACUGUGCAAGGCUCUUGAAAAAAUCAAACGUUACUUAAUACGGGUAAAGCUCUUCUACAAGAAACAAAAGCAAAAGUAGAAGUAGAAGCAAAGAUCCUAUCAAACGAAUCCUUAGUAAUCAAGUUGAAAUGGCAAUAACUCAACGACUCAACAGAACCACAAACUUCUUGGCUAAUCAAGGUGAAUCAAAAUAUUAUUAGACUGGUUGUCCCUUGAAUGAAUGAAGUUCCAAAUAUCACAACACCUGUAAUAUCCUUUACUUUCUUGAUUGAAAUUUAAAAUUGCUGAUGACAAACAAAGGCCAAAAUGGGCAUCACGCUUAGAAACUCACUGGCAUAUGGUAACCUAAUCUCAACACUAGAGACAAAAGUACAUUUGGAAAAACUUUGGACUAACAUCAUUGCAAAACUUCGGCUUAAACACGCCACUGAAUGUAAGAAUGGAUUCACCAAACGUUAAAAGUACAUCUCCACCAUCCAGGUUUUAAGAUUCGAACUGAUAUACUAAAAUGUAACAUAUUUAAAAAGAUGAUGAGCACGACGUUUGGUUCUUGGGCUAACCUUUUUCUCCUCAACCAAUACCUUCUUUAAUUUAGGACAACUUGCAAUCAAUGUAGUAACUCCAGCUUCUGUAAUGCACGGGCAAAGAGAAAGUGUUAGGUAUUUUAGUGAUGCCUAAACAACCCCCUAGGCAAUGAUGAAAAACUAAGACCCGUUCGUUUCAUAAGCUUUAAGCCCGGGAUUGAAAUAUGUAUUAAAGAUCCACACCACAAUUGUAGUAACCCAAUUAAGUUGGGUAUUUAGAGGGAA